AUCCAGCGACGAGUCCCAAAUAGGACUAAAUGUUCAUCCUGGAU
rnacentral:hammerhead_ribozyme from 1 species